rnacentral:rRNA from 1 species
AUUGAACGCUGGCGGCAUGCCUUACACAUGCAAGUCGAACGGUAACGGGCCUUCGGGUGCCGACGAGUGGCGAACGGGUGAGUAAUACAUCGGAACGUGCCCGAUCGUGGGGGAUAACGAGGCGAAAGCUUUGCUAAUACCGCAUACGAUCUACGGAUGAAAGCAGGGGACCGCAAGGCCUUGCGCGGACGGAGCGGCCGAUGGCAGAUCAGGUAGUUGGUGGGAUAAAAGCUUACCAAGCCGACGAUCUGGAGCUGGUCUGAGAGGAUGAUCAGGCACACUGGGACUGAGACACGGCCCAGACUCGUACGGGAGGCAGCAGUGGGGAAUUUUGGACAAUGGGCGCAAGCCUGAUUCAGCCAGGCCGCGUGCAGGAUGAAGGCCUUCGGGUUGUAAACUGCUUUUGUACGGAACGAAAAGCCUUCUUCUAAUACAGGAGGGUCAUGACGGUACCGUAAGAAUAAGCACCGGCUAACUACGUGCCAGCCGCCGCCGUAA